rnacentral:rRNA from 1 species
UGGGGAAUAUUGCACAAUGGGGGAAACCCUGAUGCAUCGACGCCGCGUGAACGAAGAAGGUAUUCGUAUCGUAAAGUUCUGUCCUAUGGGAAGAUAAUGACAGUACCAUAGAAGAAAGCUCCGGCUAAAUACGUUCCAGCAGCCGCGGUAAUUCGUAUGGAGCGAGCGUUUUCCGGAAUUAUUGGGCGUAAAGGGUACGCAGGCGGUUUAAUAAGUCGAAUGUUAAAGAUCGGGGCUCAACCCCGUAAAGCAUUGGAAACUGAUAAACUUGAGUAGUGGAGAGGAAAGUAGAAUUCCUAGUGUAGUGGUGAAGUACGUAGAUAUUAGGAAGAAUACCAAUAGCGAAAGCGACUGUCUGGACACAAACUGACGCUGAGGUACGAAAGCGUGGGGAGAAAACAGG